UAUUAUUUUGUUAUCACCUACUAUCUCAAUGUAUAAACAGAAAUAUUGUAUGACCUGGUUUUUCACUGCUGCAAGUUCAGCCUUUAACUGAUUAACCGUUUCCUAGAGUUCAUAUUGCUUCUCUUGCAUUUGAGAAAUAGUCUUGUGCUUAACUUGGAAGCAAGCUAACUUGUUCUUACUCAUAUUUCUGCCCAUUACUCUCAUACAACCAGGAUUAUCAGGUCCUAACUGUUUGACGAGUGUAUCCUCAUCUUGAUUUUUAGCAGACGAUGGAUUGGCACCACUACCAAGCUCAGCUGCCUUUUUCUGUACAUCAGACAACAAACGAUUAACAUGAAAAGCAUUUGAUAUAGCAAACCAGAAUUUAUGUUUUUCACUUACAAUAUUUUCAGCCGCAUUUGUGUUUAUAGGAGUUCCAUCUUUCCGGGUACGAGACUUGACCCAAAUUUUAUGUCUUGUCACUUGAGAUGGGUUAUCAGAACUAUUUUUCUAUGGAAACAUUGUAUGUUAAUAUACCAACGUACCAAUUUAAAAGGAAACAACGGGAAGAAAGAAUACUUACCAUGUCUUCUGCUAGUCUAACCAUUCCCUUCCGACUACAAGUGUGAGGUAUCUGUUUGUGUCUUCUGUCCUUGUAGCUAUCACUC
rnacentral:lncRNA from 1 species